rnacentral:rRNA from 1 species
AUUGAACGCUGGCGGCAGGCCUAACACAUGCAAGUCGAGCGAGCGGCGGACGGGUGAGUAACGUCUGGGAAACUGCCUGAUGGAGGGGGGUAACUACUGGAAACGGUAGCUAAUACCCCAUAUCAUUAGAUGUGGCCAGAUUGGAUUAGCUAGUUGGUGGGGUAACGGCGCACCUAGGCGACGAUACCUAGCUGGUCUGAGAGGAUGACCAGCCACACUGGAACUGAGACACGGUCCAGACUCCUACGGGAGGCAGCAGUGGGGAAUAUUGCACAAUGGGCGAAAGCCUGAUGCAGCCAUGCCGCGUGUGUGAAGAAGGCUUUCGGGUUGUAAAGCACUUUCGUCGGGGAGGCGUUACCCGCAGAGAAAGCACCGGCUAACUCCGUGCCAGCAGCCGCGGUAAUUC